rnacentral:rRNA from 1 species
AACAUUAGUCUAUGGGGGCAACUCUGACCCAGCCACGACGCGUGCGUGAAGAAGGUCGUCGGAUUGUAAAGCACUUUAAUUCGGGAGGAAGGCGUUUAGGUUAAUACCCUGAUGCUUCGACGUUAUCUACAGCAUAAGCAGGGGCAAAGUCUUUGCCAGCAGCCGCGGUAAUACAGAGGGUGCAAGCGUUAAUCGGAAUUACUGAGCGUAAAGCGCGCGUAGGUGGUUCAGUAAGAUGGGUGUGAAAUCCCCGGGCUUAACCUGGGAACUGCUUUCAUAACUGCUGAGCUAGAGUACGGUAGAGGGUAGUGGAAUUUCCUGUGUAGCGGUGAAAUGCGUAGGUAUAGGAAGGAACACCAGUGGCGAAGGCGACUACCUGGACUGAUACUGACACUGAGGUGCGAAAGCGUGAGGAGCAAAC